rnacentral:rRNA from 1 species
UACGUAGGGGGCAAGCGUUGUCCGGAAUUAUUGGGCGUAAAGGGCGCGUAGGCGGUUACUUAAGUCUGAUGUGAAAGUGCGGAGCUUAACUCCGUAAAGCAUUGGAUACUGGGUGACUUGAGGACAGGAGAGGAAAGUGGAAUUCCACGUGUAGCGGUGAAAUGCGUAGAUAUGUGGAGGAACACCAGUGGCGAAGGCGACUUUCUGGACUGUAACUGACGCUGAUGCGCGAAAGCGUGGGGAGCGAACAGG